rnacentral:rRNA from 1 species
UACGAAGGGGGCUAGCGUUGCUCGGAAUCACUGGGCGUAAAGCGCACGUAGGCGGAUCUUUAAGUCAGGGGUGAAAUCCCAAGGCUCAACCUUGGAACUGCCUUUGAUACUGGGGAUCUUGAGUCCGGGAGAGGUGAGUGGAACUGCGAGUGUAGAGGUGAAAUUCGUAGAUAUUCGCAAGAACACCAGUGGCGAAGGCGGCUCACUGGCCCGGUACUGACGCUGAGAUGCGAAAGCGUGGGGAGCAAACAGG